UACAGAGGUCUCAAGCGUUUUUCGGAUUCAUUGGGCGUAAAGGGUGCGUAGGCGGUGGGGUAAGUCUGGUGUGAAAUCUUGGAGCUCAACUCCAAAAUUGCACUGGAUACUGCUCUGCUAGAGGACUGGAGAGGAGAUUGGAAUUCACGGUGUAGCAGUGAAAUGCGUAGAUAUCGUGAGGAAGACCAGUGGCGAAGGCGAAUCUCUGGACAGUUCCUGACGCUGAGGCACGAAGGCCAGGGGAGCAAACGGG
rnacentral:rRNA from 1 species